rnacentral:rRNA from 1 species
AUUGAACGCUGGCGGUAGGCCUAACACAUGCAAGUCGAGCGGAUGAAGGGAGCUUGCUCCUGGAUUCAGCGGCGGACGGGUGAGUAAUGCCUAGGAAUCUGCCUGGUAGUGGGGGAUAACGUCCGGAAACGGGCGCUAAUACCGCAUACGUCCUGAGGGAGAAAGUGGGGGAUCUUCGGACCUCACGCUAUCAGAUGAGCCUAGGUCGGAUUAGCUAGUUGGCGGGGUAAAGGCCUACCAAGGCGACGAUCCGUAACUGGUCUGAGAGGAUGAUCAGUCACACUGGAACUGAGACACGGUCCAGACUCCUACGGGAGGCAGCAGUGGGGAAUAUUGGACAAAGGGCGAAAGCCUGAUCCAGCCAUGCCGCGUGUGUGAAGAAGGUCUUCGGAUUGUAAAGCACUUUAAGUUGGGAGGAAGGGCAGUAAGUUAAUACCUUGCUGUUUUGACGUUACCAACAGAAUAAGCACCGGCUAACUUCGUG